rnacentral:ncRNA from 1 species
AGAGAGGAAUCCGAAAAUCUCAGAUAGAGUAGGAA